rnacentral:rRNA from 1 species
UACGUAGGGUGCAAGCGUUAAUCGGAAUUACUGGGCGUAAAGCGUGCGCAGGCGGUUGUGUAAGACAGAUGUGAAAUCCCCAGGCUCAACCUGGGAACUGCAUCCGAUACUGGAUGGCUUGAAUUCGGGAGAGGGAUGGCAGAAUUCCAGGUGUAGCGGUGAAAUGCGUAGAUAUCUGGAGGAAUACCGGUGGCGAAGGCGGCAUCCUGGACCGACAUUGACGGCUGAGGAGCGAAAGCCAAGGGGAGCA